rnacentral:lncRNA from 1 species
GCCCGCAGCCAAGACAUGGCGUUGACGGGGGCUCCCGACCAUGUGGCUCCGAUUCUUCAGGGAAAGCAGCUGUAGAGAGAUGAGACUCCACACAGCACCCUCCUCACGGCGCGCACACCCACAUCGGCAUGCAUUCCGGUACCAGUCACCUUGGAGCUGGCCAAACUUGGGGAUCCAAAAAGCGGUCCUGCUUCCUAGCGGGUGUUGAGCUCUGCAGCGUCGUCCCCCACGAACCUCCCUGCCCCCUGCUCCUGAUUCCCUUUCAGGAAUUUACAAACAUUUUUCCCUAGAUCAAUAUCCGUAUUGAUUAUUCAUUGUGAGCGAGUCGUGUGUCUUUGGUGAUCCAGCUUGCAGAGGGUAGCAGCUAAAGACGGCUGCAGGGGGAGAAAAAUAACAGAAGGUGAGAAGGACCCAGCUCUGGCUGAGGUCUGCGGCUGUCACAUCACAGAGAGGAGGAGGAAGAAGAAGAGAAUGGUCCAGAAUGAAAGGAUGGAGAAGGGUGUAAAAGAAAGAGGACGCAACUGCAAGAAAGAAAGAUGUGAGGACUGCAUUGGUCUUAGGGAUCUCAAUGGCUUGGAGGAAAGCCCCAUCAACUUGGGUCUGCUGCUAGGUGCAAAAUGCCGAGCUGUUCCUCUGCUCUGGGAGUGAAAAGUGACUCACGGUUUUGGUGUCUUCCUACGUAAGAGCUUUUGGUGGGGGGAUUCCUUGGCUUGCUGACAGACAAGGAAGGACGCAGCAGCAGUGAGGUAAAAGAAGAGGAAGGAAAAAAAAAAAAAAAAAAGCAACCCAGUCCUUUCCAACCGCCUUGCCGACGAUGCGCACCCGUUCGGUUUGAUUUGAACAGCUUGCUGCUCUAAAUGGCAUGCGGAAGGAGGAUAAUUAAAAAGGCCAGCAUCACUUACUAAGUGAGUAAACACAAAGCCGUUCCAAACGUGCUCUCCAGCUAAUGAGGAGCUGUGAUUUCUUAUACUUCAAGGCAAAACAAGACAGGGAUGGGGGCUCGCUCAGCCGAGUGUAUGUCUGCAUGGGGAUGUGGAAAUGGGGGGUGGGCAGUGGUCCUUGCUGAUGGAGAUAAAUCGACUAAUUGUUGGUGAUAUUUAAAAAGGGGAUUACUGGAAAAAGACAGUGAGAGGAUGACAGGAAGACAUCUUGGACCAGAGCCAAAAAAUAAUAAUAAUCAAGGCAAAUCAAGUCUGCAAUUCGGAGGAAACACCCAUGACUUGGGAAGCUCCCGAUGGGAACAUGGGAACCCGCUGGAGUUCCAAAGCCGAGUCUGGGAAUAUUGUUGUGGGCACAAGAGGACAAGAUUCAGGAGAGAGUCAUGGCAUGCCGGCUUACACAGCUGUGCCACACACUGAGGAAAAAGAAAACCCAAACCAAAUCCACACCAGACCCAAACAGUGAAAGCCAACAUAUAUCCUUUGCAUUGGAGUCUUUGUGCUGGCUCCAAGUCAUCCCAUCUAUUUAAAGCAAUUCCACAACGUGCCUCCUGCUAGUAGCUGCUAGUCCUCUUGCCUGUCUCCAGAAGCUGCCUCGCUGUUGCAGGGUGAUAGUGGGAAGACGUGGUUGGGAAAAAUCAGUUUUCCAUUGGCUGGGCUUCUGGCAAAUGUGCCAGGUGAUUGUUGUUGCCAUUUGGACCGACCUACGGGAGCUGGUUGGGAAUUCCUCUUCUGGUGUCUCCCAGCUGUGGCUUGGGUCUCUCACUGAAUCUAAAGCCUGUUGAUUUGAGCAGACUGGCUGACUAGGAAGCUCCCAGGAUCUGUGUGUCUAUACCUUUCAAUGCUGGGACUAUAGAUGUUUGGUAUGUCCAGUUUUUUCAAGGAUGUUGGAAAUUUGAACUCAGGUCCUCAUGUUUGUACAGCAAACACUUACUUUACCAAGCCAUCUUCCCAGACUCCAGGGCUCCAUUUAAGUAAAAAGUCUGAAUGGUGCUAAUGGCUAUAGGCUCUGGGAGAUUCACUGCGUGGUAGGAAGCUGCUCUUCAUGGAGAGAAAGGCUGUGAAACAAGAUGCGGGCUCUUUGAUCUUGGUUCUCACAGAGGCUCCCUUGGCCCUUCUGUCCCCUAUGGGGAAUGGGUAGAUACAGUGUUGCUUCAAUGCAAUUGGCAGAAGAGGAUCUGCCUGGCUGUUUCUGGAAACUAGCACUUACUUCUUUAAAGGGUCCACGAGACUAUCUGAACUCACAAGGGAGAGCCAAAGUGCUGGAGGUACCCACAGAAUUCUGGGAAGUGUUACAUGUCAUACCAAGAGAGCACGAACAUUCACUAGUAGCACACUCAAGGAUUCCCAGCACCCUGGGCAUGGCUGAAUGGCUGUAGAAAGACGUGCUAGGGAUUCCUUCAAGUCCUGUUGGUACUCAGCUGUGGAGACUGCUGUGGUCCUUCCUUCUCAAGACCUGGUGUUCGGAGGAACAAGAUUUGAAUAACAGAGGGCUUCUCAGCUACAGACCUUGGAUGGCUGUGUUCCCAGAUGUGACCUUUUCAAGUGAAUUUAGAGCUGUGAACCCAGGAUCAAGAUAAGGAGUCUACGAGUGAAGCCAGGAUCAAGACAAGGAGUCUACAAGUGAUAAACUCUGAAUCCAGGAUCCAGGGUAGUACCCACUGGGGCCUAAGGUGCUGGGUGGACCUGGUUAUGAGCACAGCUUCACCAUACCCCAUUUGGAAGCAGGCUUUAUCCUAGCUGAAAGGAUGUCACAAUGAAUGUUAAUGCCACACCAUUUAUUAGAAAAGCAGGGACACUAUAACUACGUGUCUUCCUUCUAAAUACCCCUGUCUUGAUGAAAGUCUACUUAUUUAGAUUUGACAUUCUUGAAAUAAGCAAUAAAGUGAGGUUUGCCUUCUCACUCUUAAAUCUUGCAAUUGACUUCAGUUCCUACACAAUUAAAUUCCACAGAAACUAGCAAUUCUAAAAUGCUUAGCUGUUUUAGACUGGAUGAGAAACCAGGUGUUUUAGAAGUCCAUAAAUAUGUAUAAUAUAUAUUAUUGUAUGAACUUAUUAUAUGUGUAUAAUAUAUAAUAUGUGUUAUAUAUAGUUUACAUAUUAUAUAUACAUAUAUAAUAUAUAGUAUACACACAUAUAUAUGUUUUCUAUAGAGGAAAGAUGGAUCCCUUUCUAUUCCAUGUCUGUUGUGCAUAUUUUUUUCAGGCUUCAUAGACACAAAACAUCAGUAUGUGUGUGCAUGUAUGCAUAUGUCUAUGUGUUUCUCUGUGCAUAUGUAUGGGUAUAUACCAAGCUUAGAUAUACAUGUAUUUUGGUGUAUGCUUACAUGAAUAUUGUAUAUUGUGUAUAGUGUAUGACCACAUGUAUGUAGUGUGUACUCUGUAUGCAUAUAAGCAUGCAUGUAGAAUGUAUGCAUGUGUGUACUGUGAGACAAGGAAGGUUCUAUAAAAAGUUUCUCCACUACAUAACCCAUCUAUGCUACAAUUUACUGUCUAUUUUACUGAACACAUGCAUGAGGUUGGUCAAAGCUGGUGAGUUCCAUCUUUAUCUGAAUGAAGUUUUAAUUUUUUUUCCUUUUAAAAUUGAAAACCAUGUUUUUAUUCCAAAAGACUGGGUAGGGUGGUAUUUUAAAAAUAAUUCUAGUCACUUAAAUUUAAGGCCCUGGAAAAAAAAAGAGUUCCAUCUCUGGUCCAAAUCUACUCUCUGGCCCAGAGCCCAAAGCAUUUUCAUUAGCUGGAGAAUGGAGACGGUUUCACUCACUUUAAGCCUUACUGCUCGGUAGUGUUUGUUCAGAGACAAGCUAACAAGUGUCACUGGCCGUGUUGCCCUUAAUAAUAUGUCUCCUUCCUUUGAAUGAGCUAUUUCAGUUGCAUUAUUGCCAUUUAAAGGUGGCCUUGUGCUUGCACUCACGUUUCCAGGGACUGCAGAAGGCGUGUUGGAUCUCUCCUACACGGCUUUGCCUCUUCCACUAGCAAGUUUCCAGAGGAACAGCCCCAAUUGUUUUUUGAAGGCAUUCAUGGGGGGAAAAGCCAUACAGUGCAGGUGCUCUGACCCCCACACUUUGUUUUUGCUUCUACUCAUGGCAAUCUUGCCCAACUAUGCUAAGAUUUCCUCAGGUUUUAAAAUUAAUUCAUAAAAAUCCUAUUCAAGGCUUUUCAAUAAGCAAUGUUGACAUGUAAGUAAGAAAUAUUCAAGCCUUUUCAAUAAGCAAUGUUGACACGUAAGAAAGAAAGACAGAUCACCCAGUCAGGAGAAUUGGAGGGAGAUUUGACCAGGUGUGCAGCUGAGAAACCCAGUAGCCAGUAAGUGCUUGCAGUCAGACCACAGCACCAUGGCCAGUGACUGCUGCCACUGGCACCAAGGUGGCAACUAAACAGUGUAACAGCAAUUGUAAGCAACUAUACAGUGUAACAACAGUUAUAUGCAACUAUACAAUGUAACAACAGUUGUAAGUCGCAGGUGGAAACAUUACACUCUGCCGGGGUGAGCUGGCUCAGAGUUCAGUGUAGACAUUGUUUAAAGCAGAAGAUGUUGUAUGUGGGGUGUGUGUGUGUUAUGUGUGGUGUGGUAUGUGUGGUGGUGGUGGUGUGUGUGUGUGUCUGUGGUAUGUGUAGUGUGUGGUGUGUGUGUGUGGUAUGUGUGGUGUGUGGUGUGGUGUGGUGUGUGUGUGUGUGGUAAGUGUGGUGUGGUAUGUGUGUGUGUGCACGUGCGUGUGUGUGCGCUCAUGUGGUAAGUGUGAUGUGGUAUGUGUGGUGGUGGUGGUGGUGGUGGUGUGUGUGUGUGUGUUUACAGAGGCCAAACAAGAGCAUUGGAUCCCUUGGAUCUGGAGUGACAGGCAGUUGUGAGCUACUGGUCAGAAGUGUGGGAACUGAACUCAGGUCCUCUGGAAGAUGAGCAAGUGUUCGCAACCACUGCACUCUCUCUUUGCCCUUCCUCCUUAUUGUUGAGACAGGUCACUUACUGGACUUGGAAUUCAGCCACUGGUCUAGACUGGCUGGCCAGAAUGCCUAAUUGGAUCCCUCUCUCCUCAUCUCUACCCCACUGAUGGGAUUACAGGCGCAUGUUGCUAGGCCUAGUUUAUUAUCUGGGUCCCGAGGAAUCCACCUGAAGUGUUCAGGUUUAUGUGGCAAGUACUUUACUGACUAAGCCAUCUACCUGUCUCGACCUGGCACUUUUUGAUGAACUUUGAAACCAAGUUUUCAUUUUUAUUUUCCUUUAAUGUAGGUAAGUGUGUCUUCCCUUAUGGGGAAGAUGGGACAGAUGUCCCUAUGACGUCUGUCAUAAGAUUCAUAGUCAGGCCAUUACUAUCUCAUGUGCCAAUCAUCCCUUCAUUAGCAAUGAUAUAUCAAUUACAAAUAUACAGUCUCACCGGCAUAGCUAGAUAUCAGAUACAGAAUACCAACCAAGGGGUUUGUGCACAGUAGGUGCUCAGUGAACAUCAUAUUGAUAUAAGCAUUAUGCAUUACAUGAUAGAACAUUUAUUAAAUAUAAUAAGCAUUAUAUUUAAUAGCCAACCAAAAUGCAGAGUGGUAGAGCCCAAUCGUAGCAGAUGCAGAACAGCUCCUGUACCCAAGGCUAGGGGAUCAUGGCAGAAGAGGAUGUGAAAAGCCUGUGUCUCCUAAGAAUGUCACAAGCUUCACCCAUAAAGUCUCACCAACAUGACUGACAAAAUGGAUACUGAACGAGGACAACAAAUAGACACAUGUUUAUGUGGACUGGGGGAGGGCAAGUCUAGGAAGCAUCAACCCUACACAAAGACUACAGGCAACUAAGGAAUGCUGAGAGUGGGGGAAAUCGUCCUCUCCAGGGAGGAGCACACACCAAGCCAUUAUCCAAUACCAAAUGGCCAGCCCUGAAAACAUACAUACAAGUAACAUCAUAGAGACUA